GGUUCACCUGAUAAAAAUGCCUGAUCUAAUUUCUACCUAAGAUUUUGUAUAGCUUGGUAUAUUGUGUUUGAAAGCAACUAAUUGGCAUGAUGUGAAGAAUAUUCUAUAAUUCAUGUCCAUAUUUCACAUUAAGAUUUUACUGCGUUGAAUGACUAGUCUUGUUACCAAAUUUUAGUCUUAAACAUAUUUUCAGACAACACCAUAAUAGAGCACUUAUUACUAAAUGACCCAUAUCAAAGUGUGAAAAUUUAAUUUACUUUUAAAUAGCUUUGUUUUAAGAUUUUGACCAUAUAAUGUACCUUUGUUAUCUUUGUUUUUGUUUUUCAUCUGUUCUACCUCUACCAGAUUGCUUCCUCCACAGUUUCCUCAGGAAAAACCAGUGAUCAGUGUUUAUCCACCAAUACGACAUCACUUAAUGGAUAAACAAGGAGUGUAUGUUACCUCUCCAUUAGUAAACAAUGUAUGUAUAUGGGAUAAUUUAUUUCAGGGUAAUAUAAUAGGUGUAUUACUUUUCUACUAAAUAUUUUAGAAAUCUGAAAUGCAUUUAAAGUUUCAUUUUGUCAUGAGUACUUUUUUUAAAAAUUGAAUAUUUAAGACUACGCCUUAAAGUUCUUACAAUAUGAUAUGGUUGAUUGUGAAAGAUUAUAACUUCCAUAUACUCUAGUAUUUACCUUUGAACCCUCAAAUUAUUGUAAAUAGUCAAGUAAGGAAAUAUUUUGGCUCCAUUUUUUAUUCAAUGGACUUUUAACCUGUUUACUAAUCACCAGAUAUUUAUGGUAUCGAUUCUAUAAGAAAAUGCUAUAACUUGUUAAUUGCUAAUAUCCUUUUUCAUUUAAUUCUUGACCUGCAAAAGUAAGUUAAUAUUUAGAGUGACAUUAUCCUAAUGAGACUUUAUAAUCUUUUUCUGGAAGUGAUUUUAAGCGUCAUGUAUUGUUACUUUCAGUUUACAAUGCACUCAGAUCUUGGAAAAAUUAUUCAGAGUCUGUUGGAUGAGUUUUGGAAGAAUCCUCCAGUUUUAGCUCCUACUUCAACAGCAUUUCCUUAGUAAGUAUAUUUCUAGUAAAUAAAAAAGUCUGCCUGUAUUUUAAUGUAUUAAUCAAAAUAUAGUUUAAAAAUUCAAAUGAUGUUAAAAAUCAGUCCUCUGAUUUCUACAUCCCCACAAAUACAUCCAUACUUUCAGAGGCAACUGUUUUACUCUUUUACCUGUUUCUUCUAAUGUUUACCUACAUCUUUCUGAAUAAUGUAUGCGUACUUCUAUCACUCGAUUCUUUCAUUUUAGAUAUUAUCUGUUGGCCUCCUAUUGUAAUAGAUGAAGAUUUCAGCUGUUUUUCACUAAACUUCCUUUCUCCUCACUGUCUCAGUGAAAUUAUAUCAUGAUUUUUAAUAUUAUUCCAUAUUUGGUGUAUUUAUUACUGUGACUCUCAAUAUUGUCCAUUGCUGAGCCAAGUAUGUUACCAUGUUUACAUUUCCCUUAUGGUGCAAUUUUUUGCCUUUUUUCUGGAAUUAAUAAUUACCUACAUUUUGUAUUUGGUUUGGUUUUGUUUUAGAUCAUCUUCAUUUUCCACAUCAUCUUAAAUUUUAAGAUCUUACUAAAUUUCCACAGAGCUUUUAGCAACUAUGAAAAAUAUCCUUUAAACCAUUUUUUUCAUAUCAAACCAGUAAGAUAAUACCUGGGUUUCAUUGUUUCCUUCACAUUCAGUGCUCCACUUCUUCCCUCCAUUCUGAGUUACUCUCUAUAACAUUUGAGUAACUCUCACCAGGAAUUUCCUUUGUUGUCAUCCUGGGAUUUUCCCUUUGCCACUUUCUUGUAUUGGAUUCUCCAUUUCUUAGAUUUCAUUUUUCCCUUUCUCAGGCCAUUUCCUAGUUUCUUGGUUUACUGCCUUCCAGUAGCUUCCUGAAUAAAGUCAUGUUCUCGUACUAAAGAUACUGUUUUAGUCUUGUUCUUGCAUUGCUAUAAAGGAAUACCUGAGACUGGGUAAUAUAUAAAGAAAAGAGGUUUAAUUGGCUCAGGGUUCUGCUGGCUAUACAAGAAGCAUGACAUUGUCAUCUGCUUGGCAUCUGAGGAGCUUUUACUCCCGGUAGAAGGUAAAGCGGGUGCAGGCACAUUACAUGAUGAGAGCAAGAGUGAGGAGUGGGGGAGGUACCACACCCUUUUAAACAGUCAGAUCUCAUGAGAACUCACUAUGGCAAGGACAGCACCAAGAGGAUGGCAUUAAAGUAUUCAUGAGAAAUACACCC
rnacentral:lncRNA from 10 species